rnacentral:rRNA from 1 species
UACGUAGGGCGCAAGCGUUAUCCGGAAUUAUUGGGCGUAAAGAGCGCGCAGGCGGUCGUUCAAGUCGAGUGUGAAAGCCCCCGGCUCAACUGGGGAGGGUCAUUCGAUACUGAUCGACUCGAAGGCAGGAGAGGGAAGUGGAAUUCCCGGUGUAGUGGUGAAAUGCGUAGAUAUCGGGAGGAACACCAGUGGCGAAGGCGACUUCCUGGCCUGUUCUUGACGCUGAGGCGCGAAAGCUAGGGGAGCAAACGGG